CUGGCGUAAGCGUGCGCAGGCGGUUGUGCUAGACAGAUGUGAAAUCCCCGGGCUCAACCUGGGAAUUGCAUUUGAGACUGCACGGCUAGAGUGCGGCAGAGGGGGGUGGAAUUCCUCGUGUAGCAGUGAAAUGCGUAGAGAUGUGGAGGAAUACCGAUGGCGAAGGCAGCCCCCUGGACUAGCACUGACGCUCAUGCACGAAAGCGUGGGGAGCAAACAGGAUUAGAUACCCUGGUAGUCCACGCCCUAAACGAUGUCAACUAGGUGUUGGGGAUUCAUUUCCUUAGUAACGAAGCUAACGCGUGAAGUUGACCGCCUGGGGAGUACGGUCGCAAGAUUAAAACUCAAAGGAAGUUGACGG
rnacentral:rRNA from 1 species